UCUUUUCUUUGCCACUCCCUCUCUUACUUCCCAAAAUGUCAAGAAAACCAACAUUCCUGACCACCAUUACAUUCCUCACACUACCUCCUCUUGCACUGCAACAGUCAAUAGUGACCUAACCACAACAACAAAAGGAGGGGAGGGGAGAAUGUUAACCAAAGUGAAACAACUAUAUUCAAUCAAGCAUUUUUACAAGCAGUUGCAGUGUCUCAGAUUUCAAACCAAAUACUAAGAUGUGUUGAUUGCAAUUGAAUGGAAAAUAUAUUCUUAUGGGAAAGGGUUUUAAAAUCGCGGAUCAUCUUUGCGGUGUCCUUGGAUGAGAUGUUUGGUGGAGAGAUAUCUGUUUUCAUGAUAUUUCCCAUGUAGGAGUGUAUUUCUUGUGGAAUGCAUGCCUGUGGAGAAUGUGGUUAACUUUU